UGUAUCUGAAGUCUGACGAGGAUGAGAACCUCCGGGGGCAAGAGGUUCGACUCGAGCGAAGCGAGAGAACGUUGCGUCAGCAACGGCCCGCAG
rnacentral:sRNA from 5 species